GACCCUUUGAGCAGUUGGAUCGCUUCGUCCCGAGGGUCCUCGACUUCCCCAAAACCACAAGUGGCCCCCUCUUUCCCGACACUUCCAGGUCAAUGUAAGUGACAGUUCGCUGUACUGAAAACAAGAUUUAAUGAGAGUCUCCAUCCCCAAAGUAAAGCUUAAGCCAACAGUUGUGGAGAGAGAGCGCACAUGUGAGCAAGCAAGAGAAGGGCAGAGAGAGAGGGAGAGCGAGGACUCCAAGCAGUCCCCAUGCUGUCGCACAGAGCCUGACAUGGGGCUUGAACUCACGAACCGCGGGAUCAUGACCCGAGCAGAAACCAAGAGUCUGAUGCUUAACCGACUGAGCCACCCAGGAAGAACAAUAUUGGAUAUUGGAGUCUAUAGUUCAGAGAACCACCAAGGUCCUCAUCUUUAGUUACUAGCUGUCUGACGUUGGAAAGGGAUCUACUCUGAGUGUGCCUUCUAAUGCUCAGAAACACCAACACACACCUGGAACCCACAGCAACGGAUCACUGGAAGACAAAAUGCACAAGGAUAAUAUUUUGCCCGGCAACAAGGACUGAGAUUUGCAAAUAAAAUGGCUGGAUGAGAAGGAGCAUCCCCGUCACCUGGAAAUUGUUUUAUUAGGCAGCAGCUGGGUUUUCAACUCUGUUAGUUGGAUUUUUGUUUGUUUUCAAACUUUUCAGGGGUUGUUAGCCUGAGGUCCAUUGGUCGCGUUCAACGUGAUUCUGGAUGAAAAAAUUAAAGUUUUGUUUUCACUAA